AAGUCGUAACAAGGUUUCCGUAGGUGAACCUGCGGAAGGAUCAUUACCUUUCAAUGCAGCAGAAUUGGGAUGGUUGAGUAUCUCGCCUCUCCGUUCUGCCUGUAUUCUACCCUUGUUUGUCAUAUACUUUAUUUCCUCGGCAGGCUUGCCUGCCGAGUGAAACCAUUUAUAACCUUUUUAAUUUUCAAUCAGCGUCUGAAAAAAAUUAAUAAUUACAACUUUCAACAACGGAUCUCUUGGUUCUG
rnacentral:misc_RNA from 1 species